AGACGACGUAGCAGCCAUCUUUUCCCUGGCUUUGGUGAUUCAGCCCUGACUUCUCAAAAAGCACUGCACAGAGGAGGAGGCAGCAGAACCCCAUUUCAGCUUCUUAGGACUCUGCACUUCCCCAGAAGGAAGAAUUAAAAAUGAAUAUGUUCAAGGAAGCAGUGACCUUCAAGGACGUGGCUGUGGCCUUCACGGAGGAGGAAUUGGGGCUGCUGGGCCCUGCCCAGAGGAAGCUGUACCGAGAUGUGAUGGUGGAGAACUUUAGGAACCUGCUGUCAGUGGGGCAUCCACCCUUCAAACAAGAUGUAUCACCUAUAGAAAGAAAUGAGCAGCUUUGGAUAAUGACGACAGCAACCCGAAGACAGGGAAAUUUAGGAGAGAAAAAUCAAAGUAAGUUAAUUACUGUUCAAGACAGAGAAUCAGAAGAAGAGCUUUCUUGUUGGCAAAUCUGGCAACAAAUUGCAAAUGACUUAACCAGGUGUCAAGACUCCAUGAUCAAUAAUUCUCAGUGUCACAAACAAGGUGAUUUCCCUUACCAGGUAGGGACAGAACUGUCUAUUCAAAUUUCUGAAGAUGAGAACUAUAUAGUAAAUAAAGCAGAUGGUCCCAAUAAUACUGGGAAUCCAGAGUUUCCUAUCUUGAGAACCCAGGAUUCUUGGAGGAAAACAUUCCUGACUGAGUCACAGAGAUUGAACAGAGAUCAGCAAAUUUCCAUAAAAAAUAAAUUAUGUCAAUGUAAGAAGGGUGUUGAUCCCAUCGGUUGGAUUUCACAUCAUGAUGGUCAUAGAGUACACAAAAGUGAAAAAUCUUAUAGACCCAAUGAUUAUGAAAAAGACAACAUGAAGAUUUUGACAUUUGAUCACAAUAGCAUGAUUCACACAGGACAGAAAUCGUACCAGUGUAAUGAGUGUAAAAAACCCUUCAGUGAUCUCUCCAGCUUUGAUCUUCAUCAGCAGUUACAAUCAGGAGAGAAGUCUCUUACAUGUGUUGAGCGUGGAAAAGGCUUCUGUUACAGCCCAGUUCUUCCUGUUCAUCAGAAAGUACAUGUGGGAGAAAAACUUAAGUGUGAUGAGUGUGGUAAGGAAUUCAGUCAGGGCGCUCAUCUACAGACCCAUCAGAAAGUCCACGUGAUAGAGAAACCAUACAAAUGUAAGCAAUGUGGGAAAGGUUUCAGUCGUAGAUCAGCACUUAAUGUUCAUUGCAAGGUCCACACGGCAGAGAAACCUUAUAAUUGUGAGGAGUGUGGGAGGGCCUUCAGUCAGGCCUCUCAUCUUCAGGACCAUCAGAGACUCCACACUGGGGAGAAGCCAUUCAAAUGUGAUGCAUGUGGUAAGAGCUUCAGUCGGAAUUCACAUCUUCAAUCCCAUCAAAGAGUUCAUACAGGAGAGAAACCAUACAAAUGUGAGGAGUGUGGUAAGGGCUUCAUUUGUAGCUCAAAUCUUUACAUUCAUCAGAGAGUCCACACAGGAGAAAAACCCUAUAAAUGUGAGGAAUGUGGUAAAGGCUUUAGUCGGCCUUCAAGUCUUCAGGCCCAUCAGGGAGUUCACACUGGAGAGAAGUCAUACAUAUGUACUGUAUGUGGGAAAGGCUUUACUCUGAGUUCAAAUCUUCAAGCCCAUCAGAGAGUCCACACUGGAGAGAAGCCAUACAAAUGCAAUGAGUGUGGGAAGAGCUUCAGGAGGAAUUCCCAUUAUCAAGUUCAUCUAGUGGUCCACACAGGAGAGAAACCCUAUAAAUGUGAGAUAUGUGGGAAGGGCUUCAGUCAAAGUUCGUAUCUUCAAAUCCAUCAGAAGGCCCACAGUAUAGAGAAACCUUUUAAGUGUGAGGAGUGUGGGCAGGGUUUCAAUCAGAGCUCACGACUUCAGAUUCACCAGCUGAUCCAUACGGGUGAGAAACCAUACAAAUGUGAAGAGUGUGGCAAGGGAUUUAGUCGUAGAGCAGAUCUUAAAAUUCACUGUAGGAUCCACACAGGAGAGAAACCAUAUAAUUGUGAGGAGUGUGGGAAGGUCUUCAGGCAGGCCUCAAAUCUUUUGGCCCAUCAGAGAGUCCACAGUGGAGAAAAACCAUUCAAAUGUGAAGAAUGUGGGAAGAGUUUCGGUCGGAGUGCACAUCUUCAAGCCCAUCAAAAAGUCCACACUGGAGAUAAGCCAUACAAAUGUGAUGAGUGUGGGAAGGGCUUCAAGUGGAGCUUGAACCUUGACAUGCAUCAGAGGGUGCACACAGGAGAAAAACCAUAUAAAUGUGGGGAGUGUGGUAAGUACUUCAGUCAGGCCUCAAGUCUUCAACUUCAUCAGAGUGUCCACACAGGAGAGAAACCAUACAAAUGUGAUGUGUGUGGUAAAGUCUUCAGUCGGUCUUCACAACUACAGUCUCAUCAGCGAGUUCACACUGGGGAGAAACCUUAUAAAUGUGAGAUAUGUGGUAAGAGCUUCAGUUGGCGAUCAAAUCUUACAGUUCAUCACAGAAUCCAUGUUGGUGAUAAAUCCUAUAAAAGUAAUAGGGGUGGUAAGAACAUCAGAGAAUCCACACAGGAAAAAAAAUCUAUAAAAUGAUUCUUUGUGAAGACUCGUGUCAUUUGAAUUCUUCCAGUUAUCAAGUCUCAAAGUCAGUGUUUCAGCCGUAGCUCCUCAUGUCCCAGUGGUCCAAAGACAACAAAACAAUCUUUAUGAUUAGCAUAGCAAGGGCUUCUUUAGUCAGAACCUUGACCUUUAUAAAAUGUUACUUAGAAGAGGGGUGUUAAGAGUGAAAUUUUUCUCAGGCCUUUUAUAAAAGUAUCAUGGUGGACAUGCCAAAAUUAAGUGUCCACUAGAAUGUUAACUCCAUAAAGACAGAAACUUUGUUCACUACUGAAUCUACAUAAUCUUACCAUUGCCAUAUACUUCACAGGUGCUCAAUAUUUGUUAAUAGGUCCUUUUUGAAAAUUAUGUUGAGAUCACCUGCAGAAUAUCAUGAAUUUGUAAACAGGAAACCUGAAAGUAGCCUUAAUAAGAUUAAGUCGGGAGACCAUUGAAAUGUAGAAAACCACUCAAUACUGAACUCCCCAAUGUUAAUUUGGCAUUGUCUUGUGAUUAGAUCCUGUCCUCCUUUAGCCUCACUAAUCAAGUUGGGUCCUAUCUUCCCAGAUGUCUAGUUUUCUACUGGUUUUAUACCAUAUAGAUUCAAUUAUCUUUUGUAACAGAUAAUUGUGUUCAUCUUGUAAUAACUGGACACUACAUACUACACUUAUUUUUUCAACACUGUUAAGGCAGGGGUUUAAGUGUCAGAGUUGCUAAUGACACAUUUUUUAGUAGAUGUUGAUCAUUGGUUUUUUCACAUUUUCAUUCAGGCUUUGACAUGAUUGCCUUCUAAGGGCUUUAGCAUUACUUUAAUCAGAGUUUAGGUUGCGGCUAUUGCAGAUUUCUUUUGUGAACUUCUCUCCCCCAUAUUCUGAGAAAAAGGACAAAAUAUUAGUUAAAAUUUGAUAAAUUUCAUCAAAAAUCGAUUUUUGGAGCAUGACUUUCACCCUUUUUCCUAGUGGUGGCAGUGAAAAAAAUGCUUUUGGAAGAGAAGUUAGUAUGUAUCAGAAUAUAGAAUGUGCAUCUCUUUUUUCUGGAAUUCAUAGAAUAGGAAUUUUUGAUUAGGAGAUUCAAGUAGAAAAUGUAAGUAGCACAUCAGUGUUAAUGAAUUUUGUAAAAAUAGAAAUAAUUUUUUAUAUACUACAGUAAAAAGGAUCCUUGAAAAUGAUGACCAAAUUUUAUGACAGAAGAGUGUAACAGUUUAGUUUAAGAACAUCACAGGCUGGGUGUGAUGGCCCACGUCCAUAAUCCCCGUACUUUGGGAGGCCGAGGUGGGUGGAUCACCUAAGGUCAGGAGUUCGAGACCAACCUGGCCAACAUGGUGAAACCCUGUCUCUACUAAAAAUACAAAAGGUAGCUGGGCGUGGUGGUGCGUGCCUGUAAUCCCAGUUACUUGGGGUGUUGAGGCAGGAGAAUCGCUUGAACCUGGGAGGCGGAAGUUGCAGUGAGUCAAGAUGUUGCCACUGCACUCUAGCCUGGGCGAUAGAGUGAGACUCAGUCUUAAAAAAAAAUCACAUACCUUAAAUUCGUGUGUGUCCAUGUGAGUGAAUAGUGCAUCUAAUCGUGAGUCUGUCCUAUGCCACCACAGCAUCGAAGAGAAUGCAGGAAUUUUUUUCACAUUUAACUUCUAUAUUUUAAUUUUUUAACUGAGCAUCGGUUUUAUAGUAAAAUACUGUUAUUUUACAGUAACAUAGUAAAAAUAUAAUUUAAAAAAUUACUAGAAUAUAUUAAUCCCUUACAGUUAAGAAAUCUUGUGUCAUCAUAUAGCAUAUAAGGCCAAAAUUAAAGAAUGGAACUCUGGAAAUCAAUUAUAAAAACUUGUAUGGUGGUUCAAAGAUACAGAUGCAUUGGUAAGAGUGAAUAUAUAUUUGCAGUGAAUGCAUUUGAAGCUGCUUCUUAGGUACAAAUCUAUGCAAUCAAUACAGUUUUAAUGUAAUUCCAGUAGUAGGAAUGCUUCUUAAUUCUUGACAGACUUACUCACUGGCUGAAUGGAUAGAUAACCCAGGGCACUGGCUUGUCUUUUCAAGUGCUUGGUCUGAUUGGGGGAAAUGGCUGGGCCUUUCUAGGUACUGUAUGGCAAGGAAAAUCGAGCUGUGGAAAAAAGGAAUAAUAAAAUUUACAGAGGCCAGGUGCGGUUGCUCGUGCCUCUAAUCCCAGCACUUUGGAUGGCUGAGGCAGGUGGAUCACCUGAGGUCAGGAGUUUGAGCCCAACCUGGCCAACAUGGUGAAACUCCAUCACUAUUAAAAAAAAAUACAAAAACUAGUCGGGUGAGGUGAUGGGCGCCUGUAAUUCCAGCUACUCAGGAGUCUGAGGCAGAAGAAUCAUUUGAACCCAGGAGGUGGAGGUUGCAGUGAGCUGCGAUCGUGCCACUGCACUCUAGCCUGGGUGACAGAGCAAGACUCUGUCUCAAAAAAAAAAAAAAAAAAAAAAAAACCCAAGAAGGUGAGGGCAAAUUCAGAAGCUAUAGAGUGGAAAUAUGUAAUUUUUGAGGUAAAAUUUAACAAAGAUUCCCUGAGGAAAAGAUGUGCGUAGGGAGAGAACAGCAUGAUGCCAGUGAAAACAAACUGGGAACAGGCAGUUAAGCAGGAUCGAAUACCAUUUCUUUCUUAGGCGUUUCUGUGACAUUUAAAGCUUAUUUGGUUAAAGGCUUUACUCAGCAAAGGAUAUAUCUGUGAGGUUUCCACAAUUUUCUCUAUUUGGAUUACAAUUCCUGUUGUUCCUGGACUGCAUCUUCACAUGCUAAGUAUGUAAAGUCCAUGAUACCUCAAGUUGUGUUAGAUAUCAGAAAUCCUGAGUCUUCGAUGUUUAGUUUGCUCUUAGAUAUCAGGAUAGCCCACCAACUCUCAGUAGCUUAGUGAGUUAAGUCAGGGGUCAAAAAACUACCCCCUGUGGGCCCAAUCCAGCCCACUUCCUUAAAGGUUUAUUAGAAUAUAGCAAUGCCUGUGUUUUAGUGUAUUAUCUAUGCUUUCUUGCUGCAGUGUCAAAAUUUAGUAGUUGUGACAAAAACUAUGGACCACAAAAUCUAAAAUAUGUGCUUUCUGGCCCUUUACAGAAAAACGUGUACUAAGCCUUAUGUUAAACCAAAUGAUUUGUCUCCCAUAACUUAAAAAAGACCCCAGGUAGAGCAGGACUUAGACCUGCUUCUGUCAGGAUUCCAAAAUGAUUUUUUUUGAUUCUCAUAUCUGCCCUUCUGGUUAACCCUGGUCUUUAGGUUCAAGAUGGGGCUAGCAACCAGGGAGCACCUAUCUUUUCUUUUCAGUCAGUGGAAGGGAGGUGCUCUUUCAUUUGUAGUGUUAGGUAGUUUACUACUCACAGUGUUUGUGGCUCCUCUGGCCUUGAUUCUCAUCUACACUCAAGAUUAGACAGCUAGUUGUGUGUCCAGUUCUUUUGGCCUUUGUGAACUAUCAAGUUUCAACUCAGCCAGGUGCAGUGGCUCACACCUGUAAUCCCAGCCCUUUGGGAGGCUGAGGUGGGAGGAUCUCUUGAGCUCAGGGGUUCAAGAUUAGCCUGGGCAAUAUAGUGAGACCCUGUCUCUCCAAAAAAAGUUUUAAAAGUUAGCUAGCCAUGGAGGCACACAUGUGUGGUUCCAGGUACUCAGGAAGCUGAGAUGGAGGGAUCACUUGAGCCCAGGAGGUUAAGGCUGCAGUGAGCUGUGGUCCCAACACUGAACUGCAGCCUGGUGACAGAGUUGAGACACUGUCUCAAGAAAAAAAUAAGUUUCAUCUCUCCCUUGCACCAUGGACUCAACUUCCCUAUUUUGAGCCUCCAGGAGAUUUUUCUAUCUUAGCUUUUAGCUUGGCUGCAUAUUAACAUUUGGGAGAAUUUGUUAUAUAUUAUCAGGAUUCCUUUGUUUUUGAGAAAGAGGGAUGCAAAGCCAAAAUCAGCGGCUGAAUGACAACACAUUUAAUUCAGAACUUUUAGGGUGUCUUAUGUCACAAGGCAUCAAUGAGAAGGAAUGGAAUCCUGAAAAAUUUGGGAACAGAUGAGCAGAUUCCAACAAAGCUGAGGGUUUUGCUCAAUCUAGCUGAGCAUCUCUUGCCGUUAGAAGGAGCCCUUCUUCCUCUAUUUGAAGUCAGUCUCCCUUGCCUGAAAAGCCUGUGAUGACCUUCCCUGAGAUGGUUUCCUUGCAAAAGGCUUUAGAUCCUCAAGACUUGCUUCCACUACCUCUCAUUUUUCUAGACCAAUAAUGAAACUCGGGUCUUCACAGACAAUGGGAGGAGUCACCAAGUAGAAAAUACGACCAUGAGGAGAUACAUCGCCAAAGUAAGGAUUUUUGUAAUUUAUAUCAAUAGAAACCUGAGAAAUAGAUAUGGUUGUAGAUCUUACCAGUGUUGAAUCAGGUGGAAAUAAUACAAUGAUGGAUUAGGCUGGAUUUGCUGAUAUGGGUGUAGUGAACAGUGAUUCCAGACCCACUGUUAGCUUGAGCACCUGGGAAUAGUUUCAACAGUUUUCUCAGUUGUAUGAAACUUGGAUGCAAAAACGUUAGCCUACCCUAAAGUAAAAAAAAGCCAGAACUUUGUAAGUAUGUUAUAGAAUUUCUCGACCUUGGCACAACUGACAUUUUGGACUGGAUAGCUCUGUUAGGGGAUGCUCUAUGCAUUGUAGGAUGUUUAGCAGCAUCCUUGGCCUCUAGCCACUAGAUGCCAGUAGCACACGUGAUGCGCGCGCGCGCGUGCAUACACACACACACACACAAACACACACACCUCAGUUAUAACAAGCAAAAAUGUCUCCAGACACUGCCAGACAGCAGUGCGGGGGUUUGGAAAUUGUCCCCAACUGAGAACCAGUGUUAUAGAACAUAUACAGAGACAUAGGAAUGCCAGAAUGCUGGAGUGGAUGUAUGUAAAGCCUUACUCAACCCUUGUACUCUGGGAAGAUUCGGAAGACACUCUUUGCCAAGGACUUGAGAAGUUCAUUGGCGAGAGGAGCAUUGGCAGUUUGGGAGAGCUCUGUAGUAACUCUUCUCGGCAGACCAGGAAUGGGAGAGGAAAAUUGUGACAUUGAAAUGGGCUUUAAAAAAAAAUUCAAUGAGGAUGAUGGGAUCCUGGAGCAUUAGGGGUCAAGUGGAGGCACUUUACUGGUAGAGACAAAAUGAGUGCGUUUAUCACAAUGAUCAGCAAAGUCAAAGGGAUUAUCAGAGAUCUUUGCAUUUGUUCAUAGAUUGUGGUGUCCCUCUGGCUGAAAUAGACCAGAAGCCUACUGAAUCCCUGCUUGAUUUGAAUAAGUGGAAAGACUCUGGGUCUGGUAAAUCAACAUGAGAGAGAAUUGUGGCCUCUAAGGCAAUUACAUAAUGUGAAUGAGUUCUCAUUCCCAGAACACCUUGAAUGAAGUGUAGGUCAAGUCUUCUUGAGAAAGUACACUGAUACGCUGCCGAAACUGACUUAUACUACCAUAAAUCAUCCUGCACUUCUGCAAAGUGACUUGGCAACCAUAUUUAAUGGAGCUGUGAUUAGGUAAUUGGAAACAGCCUGAAUAUGGAGGGAUUGAUUACUGGUCACUAGAGCUGAAUUGACAUUAACUCUGAGAACCCUAAAAUGUCACUGUAGCCCACCAGGUAGCAGAAGGGCUUAUAGAGGAUGAAUAAUUAAUGAAUGUUUUUGCUUAGGCCCGUUUGUGGUGGUCUGAAUGGAGCCCUGAACUCAUCCUCUGAUUAUUUCCCAAGUUUCAGAAUGCAGAAUUGCACCAGCUGCAUUCAAUAGCUGACAGAAUCCUCAUACUGAAUGUUCCCUGAUCCAUGGAAAGAGGGCUAUUUUGCCAAGGACAAACACUAUAAAUGCUUUGUAUGUGCCAAAAAAAAUGAUAACCUGAAAGCAAAACCACAUUCAUGGAGGAAUUGCAGAGGUUAGUGCCACUAGCAGUAUCUUGAAAGUUGCAAGGGUUAUGGUUCUAUCACAUCCUGAUUCAACCCUGGUGAUCAAUAGGGUGACAGAUGUUGCAGCCAGAUCACCUUCAUGUUCAUAUGCUGAUUGAUUCACUCAAUUGACGUGUGCAGAGAUACUUAUAUCCUAGAGAAUUACAUGAAAUUAUUUGAAAUUUAAUUAGAAAUUGACUUCAUUUGCAGUUCCAGAUGUGGUUUUAUUUCUACAGCAAAUCAACAUGUCUGCUGGCACCUGAUAUAGAGAGCCACCAAGCCAAUAUGUGCCUUUUUCUCUAUACCUGCCUGUAAAUGUCAUCCACAGAAGUUUAGUUUGGUAGGGCCAUCAAUACACUUUUAAGGUCCCAGCUCAGUUCUGUAUCUACUUUCCAGUAUUUUUCACAAUUUACCCAGGGAUUGGUAAACUAUGUUUCAUGGACUAAAUCUCCUGCAACUUGUUUUUAUAAAUUGUCUCAUUGAAGCAUAACCAUAACCAGUUUUUACAUAUUACCCAGGAGUGCUUUUAUGCUAAAAUGACAGUGUUGAGUAGUUAGGCCACAGAGAUCAUGUGAUCUGCAAUGCCUAAAAUAUUUACUGCCCGGCUCUUUACAGAAAUAACUUUCUGACCCCUGCUCUACUCUGUAGAUACAAUGCUGAUUGUACUUUCUAAGCAGAAAGAAGCAAUUACAAUAGACAUUUUGGUUAGAAGAUGGAUAAUACAAAAAUUCAGGAGCUGGCCAUGUUCAUUAGAUUCCUAGAGGACUGGCCGGGUGCGGUUGCUCAUGCCUGUAAUCCCAGCACUUUGGGAGGCCGAGGCAGGUGGAUCACGAGGUCAGGGGUUCAAGACCAGCCUGGCCAGGAUGGUGAAACCCUGUCUCUACUAAAAAUACAAAAAUUAGCCGGGUGUGGUGGCGGGCGCCUAUAAUCCCAGCUGUUCAGGAGGCUGAGGCAGAGAACUGCUUGAAUCCGGGAGGCGGUGGAGGUUGCAGUGAGCCGAGAUUGCGCCACUGCACUCCAGCUUGGGUGACAGAGCGAGACUCCAUUAAAAAAAAAAAAAGAUUUCUAAAGGACCAGUGGUAUCGGAUAUUCCAAGAUACCUGUUCCAAAGUGAAGAGCAAAUAGCUGCAUAUGACCCUUCUAAAACCACCAGGGAAGAGACACAAUGACUACUAGGAUUCUUAGUGAGUUUUGUAUGUGUGUGCUUCACUUUAAACAUUUAUUAUGGUACAAAAACACAUAACACUAAAUUUACCAUCUUAACCAUAUUUUAUCUUAACAUUUUUAAGUGUACAAUUCAUUAGUGUAAAUUGUAUUCAUAUUAUGCAACAGAUCUAUAGAACUUUUCAUCUCACAGCACUGAAAAUCUAUACCAGUUAGAUACUAUUUCCUCCCCCCUCCUCCCAGCCCCUGGUAACUACCUUUCUAAAUUUUGUUCCUAUAAUUUUGACUACUUUAGAUACUUCAUGAGUAGACUCUUACAGUAUUUGCCCUUUUGUGAUUUGCUUAUUUCACUUAGCAUAAUGUUCUCGAGGUUGAUUAAUGUCGUGCCAUGUGGCAGGAUUUUCUUCUUUUUAAAGGCUGCAUAAUAUUGCAUUGUCUGUGUACAGCACAUUUUCUUUAUCCAUUCUUCUGUCAAUGGACAGUUGGAUUGCUUCUACAUCUUGGCUAUAAUGCUGUGAUGAAUAUCUAUUCCUUUGAGAUCCUGCUUUGAGUUCUUUUGGAUAUAUACCCGGAAGUGGGAUUGCUGGAUUAUCCAGUAAUUCUAUUUUUAAUUUUUUGAGGAGCCUCCAUAUUAUUUUCCAUAAUGGCUAUACCAUUUUACAUUUCCACCAACAGUGCACAGGUCUUCCAACGUUACAUCCUUGACAACACUUGUUAUUUUUCUCUUCCUUUACCAGUGACCACAAUAGUGGGUGUGAGGUGAUAUCUCAUUACAGUUUUGAUUUGCAUUUUCUAAAAGAUUCAUGAUAUUGAACAUCUUUUCAUGUACUUAUUGACAAUUUAUGUAUCUUCUCUGGACAUGUGUGUUUAAGAACUUUGCCCAUUUCUUUCAUUGGAUUAUUUGGGGUUUUUUUGUUGUUGUUGUUAUAGAGUUGUAGAAGUUUCUUAUAUAAUCUGGAUAUUAACCCUUUAUCAGAUAUAUAACUUGCAAUUUUCCUCCAUUCUGCAGGCUACCUUUUCACUCUGUUGAUUGUUUCUUUUGAUGCACAGAAGUUUUUGAGUUUGAUAUAAUCCCAUUUGUCUAUUUUUCUUUCCAUUAUCUGUGCUUUUGUUGUGAUAGCCAAGAAAUAAUUGCCAAAUCUAAUGUUCUGAAGGUUUUCCUUUAUAUUUUCUUCUAGGAUUUUAACAGUUUUAGGUCUUACAUUUAGGCCUUUAAUCCAUUUUUAUUUAAUUUUUGUAUACAAUGUAAGGUAAGGGUCUAACUUUAUUCUUUUGCAUAUGGAUAUCCAGUUUUCCCAUUACCAUUUUUUGAAGAGACUGUCCUUUCCUCAUUGUGUAAUCUUGGCACUCUUGUCAAAAUCAUUUGGUUAUAUAUGCAGGGGUUUAUUUCUGGGUUCUGUGUUAUAUUGGUUAUAUGUCUAUAUGCCAGUACCACGUCAUGUUAAUUACUGCUGCUUUUGAAGUAUGUUUUGAAAUUAGGGAGUGUGAGGCAUCUGAGAUUGCAUACAAAUUUUAGAAUUUUUUUUUCCUAUUUCUGAAAAAAAGUCAUUGGGAUUUUGAUAGUGAUUGCAUUGAAUCUGUAAAUCACUUUGUGUAGCAUGGAAAUUUUAACAUUAUUAAGUCUUCAAACCCCUGAGUACAGGAUGAGUUCCCAUUUAUUUGUAUCUUCUUAGAUUUCUUCUUUUAUUAAUAACAAUGUUUUGUAGUUUUCAAUGUAAAAAUAUUUCAGUUAUUUGAUUAAGUUCUUUCCUCAGUAUUUUACCCUUUUUGAUGCUAUAGUAAAUGAAAUUUUCUUUUCACGUUGGUGAUUGCUAGUAUAUAGAGAUGCAACUGAUUUUUUAGUGCUAACUUUGUAUCUUGCAACUUUGCUGAGUUAUUAGUUGUAGCUUUUUUGUGUACGUGGGAUCUUUCUACAUAUAAGACCAAGUCAUCUGCAAAUGGAGAAAAUUUUAAUUCUUCUUUCCAAUUUGGAUGUCUUUUUAAAAACUUUCUGAUUGACCUGGCUAGAAUAUCCAGUACUAUGUCAAAUAGUAGUGGUAAGUUGGGCAUCCUUGCCUUGUUCCUGAUCUUAGAGUAAAAGCUUUCAGUAUUUCUCCAUUGAAUAUGAUAUUAACUGUGGGCUUUUCAUAUAUGGCUGUCAUUAUAUUUAGGUACUUUCCUUUCAUUUCUAGUUAAGUGGUUUUUUUUUUUUAAUCAUGAAAGGCCCUUUAUUUUGUUAUGUGGUGUAUUACAUUGAUUGAUUUUUAUAUGUUGAAUUAUACCAGGUAUAAAUCUUGCCUGAUCAUGACCUGUGAUUCUUUUAGUGUGCUGUUAAAUUUAGUUUGCUAGUGUUUUGUUUAGGAUUUUUGCAUCAAUAUUUAUCAGAGAUAUUGGUCUACAGUUUAUUUUCUUGUGUGUCUUUGCUUUUGGUAUCAGGUUAAUGAUGACUUAUAGAAUGAGUUUGAGAGUGUUCCUUCCUCUUCACUUCUUUGGAAGAAUUUAAGAAGAAUUUGUAUGUUAAUUCUUCUUUAAAUAUUUGGUAGAAUUCUGCAGUGAAUCCAUCAGGUCCUAGAGUUUUCUUUCUUAGGAGGCUUUUGAUGACUACGUCCAAUGCCUCACUAGUUAUACACCUGUUCAGUUGUUUUCUUAAAAUUUCUUCAUGAUUAAGUCUUGAUAGGUUGCAUAUUCCUAGUUUAUCCAUUUCUUCUAGGUUAUCCAAUCUGUUGGUGUAUUCUUCUUCAUAGUAAUCUCUUAUACUUUUUUUAUUUCUGUGACAUCAGUCAUAAUGUCUCCUCUUUCAUUUCUAAUUUUAAAUAUUUGAGUCUUCUCUUUUUCUUAAUCUAGCUAAGAAAUUAAUUUUAAUUAUUUUUACUAAUUAAUUUGUCAAUUGUGUUAAUCUUUUCAAAACAGACUCUUAAUUUUCUUUUUAAAAGUUAUUUUCUUCUCUCUAUUUUCUACUCUAAUCUUUACUAUUUUAUUCCUUCCGCUGACUUUUGGUUUGCUUGUUCUUCUUUUCCUAUUUCCUUAAAGUAUAAGCUUAGGUUGUUGAUUUGAGAUAUUUCUUGUUUUUAAAGGUAAGUGUUUACCAAUAUAAAUGUCCCUAUUUGGAUUGCUUUCACUGCAUCUCAUAAGUUUUGAAAUGUUGUAUCUCUGUUUUUAUUUGUCUCCUGAUGUUUUCUAAAUUCCUUUAUGAUUUAUUUUUUGGCCCAUUGGUUGUUUAAGCAUGCAUUGUUUAAUUUCCACAUAUUUGUGGAAUUUCUUGUUUUCCUUCUACUAUUAAUUUGUAGUUUUAUUCCAGUAUAGUUAGAGAAGAUACUUUGUAUAAUUUCAGUCUUCCUAAAUUUAUUAAGACUUGUAAUAUAGCCUAACAUGGUCUAUCUUGGAGAAUGUUUCAUGCACACUUGAGAAGAAUGUGCAUUUUACUGUCGUUAGGUGAAGUGUUCUGUAUGUAUCUGUUAGAUCCAGUUGGUCUUUAGUGUUGUUCAAGUCCUCCGUUUCCUCAUUGAUCUUCUGUCUAGUUCUAUCCAUAAUUGAAAGUGGGAUAUUAAAGUAUCCUACUAUUAUUGUGUUGCUGUUUAUUCCCCAUUCAGUUCUGUCAAUGUUUGUUUUAUAUAUUUGGGCACUCUAAUGUUAGGUGCAUAUAUAUUUACGUAGCCCUCUGUAUCUGCAGGUUCUGCAUCCACAGAUUCAACUAAUCUUGGAUCAAAAAUAUUUGAAAAGAAUGAACCGUUGCAUUUGUACUGAAUAUGUACCAACUUUUUUGGGUGAUUAUUCCCUAAACAAUACAAUAUAAUGACUAUUUGCAUGGUAUUGACAUAAUAUUAGGAAUUAUAAAUAGCCCAGAGAUGAUUUAAAGUAUAUGAGAGGAUGUGCAUAGGUUAUAUGCAAAUAUUGUGCCAUUUUAUGUAAGGGACUUGAGUAUCCAUGGAUUUUGGUAUCCACAGAGUGUCCUGGAACUAAUCCCCUGUGAAUACUGAGGAACAACUGUCAUUGUUGUAUCUUCCUAGUGAGUUGAACUUUUAAUCAUUAUAUGAUAUCCUUCUUUGUCUCUUGUGACAGUUUUUGUCUUAAGUCUAUUUUGUCUGAUAUAAAUGUCAAUCUAAAUAGAAGAGACAGAGUCUCUCUAAAAUAAAAUUACAUUUAUUCAGGAAUGAGCAUUUCAAUGGGAAUACAGUGGGUAUAUUCAGGGAGGUAAAUGAAGACAAGAGUUUUAUAAGGAAAAAUGAAAAGGGCCACAUAAGUUGUUUUGAAACAAUUUUUCUUGACCACAGGGUUCAGUAACAACGGUGGUAUCAGUCCAAGGUUGGACAGCCAGUUGCUGGGUAGAUGUCUUCAUGGAAGUAGUUUUGUUUGUGUAAGGUCAUGACAUUUGAGCAACAAUGGAGGUUUGGAGGGAGUGGCUCUUAGGCUAGGUCUACCUGGAGUCCGUUGUUAAGUUCAAUUUUGUUUGUUCUGUAGGUGUGGGCUAUUAUUUCAAAGCUGUAGGCCAGCAUUAUUGUGUUAGGAGUUGUACUUCCACAGAAAUUUGACAGGCAACAGGUACAAAGUUUAAAAAGAAAGAUACGAAGUAAAAUUUAUACUAAUAUGAUCAUCCCAGUUUGCAUAAUGGUUUCGAGCCAUGAACCUGGGCUUAAAGGCAAGCAACUGAAUCAAUCAAAUGAUCAUUGGGAAUUAGGUGAGACCUAAUGUAACUAUGUGCGUGUUUUCUUAUUUUGUGUAUUUGGGUCUCAACUUCCCCAGAGGAAUUUAUCCAGGUAUGCAUGUAGUCCUAGCAAUAGCAUAGACACUACCUUAUUUAACCAGUAGAUAAUAUAGAAAAAUUUUGUCAUCUGAUAUCUCAUGACUGGGUUGAAUUAAAAGCAUAGAGUGAGUGACAGUUGUAUUAGGAAUAUUUUUAAAGUUGGACUAAAGGAUUCUUUGGUCAUGUAAAGAUCUACAGUUGGCAUAACAGAUCUAACAUUUUGUCAAGUUGUCCACAUAAGCUACUAAUUGUAAAAUUUUAACUACACCAUUAUCCUGCCCAGUGAAAAAGUUAAGCAUAGGCAAGGACAAACUAAGAGGGGCAACAGUCUCAUUAUGAUAAAGAUUGUUCUGGCAUCUUGAGAAAGCUGUCCACAGCAUAAAGACAUCAACUUCUCAUCCUGGUUUGUAGUUUGAAUGUCUCUCGUUAUAGCAUCGGGUGGUUUGGUGAACUUUCUGCAUGACCCACAAAUCAGGCAUGAGGCUUGUCUCUUAAAAUUUACAUCAAGUUUUCUAGCUUCAGCUUACAGGGCUUUAGGAAAGAGUAGUUCCCAUUCUUAGUAAUAACAUGGGAGAAAAUUAGAUUAGGGAACCUAGAAUAACUUAGGAUCCAGUCUGGUCUACAGUAGAUAAUAAAAACUCAAAGACAAUGCACAGAACUACAAUCUAAUAACAGAUGUAUUAUAGUCCUUUUCUAGAAACAUAAUUUUGUCUCUAUAUAGUUAUCCUAAUUUCUACCAAAGAUAAUUACAGUAAGACUGAUUUGUUUGUAAAUAAGUUUAGUUUUAUUAUUAUUUUAGGUUCUUGUAUUAUUUUAUUAGUUUUAUUAUUUUAGUUUUUUAAAGUUUAUUUAUUACUUAAUAAUUUACAUAAGAGCAGCAAGAGUAGUAAAUUGAGCACAAAAGAAUCUCAGAUUUUAUUUUAUUUUAUUUUUUUGAGGCGGAGUCUCGCUGUGUCGCCCAGGCUGGAGUACAGUGGCGCGAUCUCGGCUCACUGCAAGCUCCGCCUCCCGGGUUCCUGCCAUUCUCCUACCUCAGCCUCCCGAGUAGCUGGGACUACAGGCGCCCGCCACCACGCCUGGCUAAUUUUCUUUGUAUUUUUAGUAGAGAUGGGGUUUCACCAUGUUGGCCAGGAUGGUCUUGAUCUCCUGACCUCUUGAUCCGCCCGCCUCGGCCUCCCAAAGUGCUGGGAUUACAGGUGUGAGCCACCGUGCCUGGCCAAGAAUCUCAGAUUUUAAACCUCCUUGAGUCUAGAAAGCCAAACAAAGGCAGACUUCAGACUUUGUUUGCAGUACCAAUAAAAAUUUAAAUAUGGCAUUCCAGUUUUAAUUGGUAAUACAACCAAUGUUUUUAACUGUAUCAUGUUACAAGGAGGUACAGAUUCAUACUGAAUGUAUGCAAAUAAUUAUAUUGUCAUUUAAGAAACACUAGCAAAUCACUUCCAAAUUUUGAAGGGAUCAAAUAGAAAAAAAUAAAUAUUUCCACCUUUGUUCACAGAAGUAUAUUUUACCAAAUUGUUGUAAACUAUAGAUAGCUUAAGAGAAAAUGUUUCCUUAAACUUGGAAGACAAAACAUUUCAGUAAAAAACCAACAAUGUUUAAAUUAAAAGUUAUAAAAACAUUAUCAGUUAUUCAAUUUCAUGUAAUUAGUUUUUGUUAUGCUUGAUCUUGAUUAGCAGUUUCACAAAUUCAUCAGUUUCUUCACUGCAGUUGUGAAAAGUUUUAUUUAGUUCAUUAAUCUUGAAGUUAUUAGAAACUUGUAUUUAAGAGUACUUAUUAGAGUCUUUUCCAUGAAUCUGAUUGCAGAUACCUUUAGAGAAAAAUCAAAACUAUGGAUGUCAAAGACUUAGAAUAACCAUCAUUAAAAAUCUGAUGGGAGUUCAGCAGUUGAGAAGGAAAUUCAAUUAUUUCUAUUGUAUUUAGCAUUUUAAGGUAACAACCAGAAUCGUGGUUGAUAGCAUUACAUCAGGACCAUCAGACCUUUUUAAAUUUCACAUAAUAUUUAAUAUACAUCAAUAACAUAUCCAUGUAACUUAAAGAAAAUAUAGCAUCACUUUAUUAUUUGACAUUGAUUCCCAUACAAUUAAUCAAAUAAGCCAAAUUAGUUUAACAUCUCUACAAGAUGAUACCUCCUUUAAGGUUCUCCAGGGGCCCAACUGGAAAAUCUCUCAGUUAAUUAUAGGUCAAAAAGACUUAAUUUAGAACUUUGAUCCUGGAGAGACCUGCCAAAAAUGUCAAAAUGGUUAAAACAUUUAAUUAAAACAGAAUCACAGAUUAUUGUGGAAUAAUAGUCAUUCACUUAAUCAGAGUGAAAAGAGAUUCCAAAAGCAAAUACAGAACAUUACAUGGAUUAAAAAAAAAAACCUUAAUUCUUUCAAAGCUCCUAAGUAAUGAAAAACCUAAUAAAGACAACAUGAAGCAUGAGAAAUUAUUUUGAUAAAACAAAAAAUCUUUGUUUCCUAGGCCAGCUAUCAAAAGAUAAAAACCUUCUACAUAUUUAAAAACCCCUUGUGAUUGCUUCUCCCUAUGGGAAACCCAUUUCAAUAACCUGGAAGUUGAGCCUGAUGAAAAGGUACUUGAAUUCAACUAAACACUGGAAGAGUGUGUAUCCAAGGUUAUGAGUGUACCAUAUUAUAGAAAAGAUAAACAAGAAAACAAGUACCUUGAGCAGGCGGAUAUGUGGCUCUUAGAAAAAGUAAAAGAAUGUGGAAUUUAUUGGUUAAACAGCAAUUCAGACACAUCAAGAAAAGACAAAAUUACAGAAUCAAAUUAUACUGGAAGAAAAUAUUAUUCCCCUAGAUUCUCCUAGGCCUUAAAGACAAACAUUUUUAGUGUUAGGCCACAAUAGCAGAGUCAGAACUGGAGAGAGAGCCAGAGAGAGAGCGAGCGAGAGAGCGAGAGAAGCAAGAGGAGUGAGAGGUGAGAGAGGGAGAGAGUUACAGGAGCUGACUCCAAAGUUGAGGGAGAGGGUUAUCAUCCCUAAGGAGACAAGGAAGAGCUGAAGGCAAUGAUGCAUGAUUUUAGUCGUUCACUUAAUCAGAGUGAAAAAAGCUUCCAAAAACAAAUGCAGAACUUUACGUAGAUGUAAAAAAAACAAACCUUAAUUCUUUCAAAGCACCUAAGUAAUCAAAAACCUAAUUAAAGACAACAUGAAGCAUGUUUCUCAUCAAAUCAUGUGCAAUGAGAUACAGCAAAGUGGAACUGAGAUAUGAAUUUGAAAAGCUUCAAAAGGAAAGUUCUUUUGAGAAACUAAAUUACUAUUUUUAAAUGAGGGAGAUAGUAUUUUAAAGCUGGAAUAAGGGAAAUUAAGUGGAAAGUGUAAAACAGGAAAAAGCUGCAGUUCAGAAGACGGCUGAAAAUUUAAACGGAUUUCAGAAUAUCAAAACCUCUUGCAGAUUUUUUUUAACUAAAAUCACAUAAAUACAUCAAGAAAACCUUGUUGCUUUAAACAUAGGUGAAUGGAUUCUGGUUUUGUAUCACUGUAUUAAUACUCAAUUUUUGAUAAAACCUGUGAAUAAUUCCCUUUUAACUAUAGGCAACUUGAUUAAACACAAAUUUUUUCCAUAAGAUUCAUCUUAUAUAAAAAGAAAAUUGUCUGACAAAUAUAUCCAGGCAAAAUGUAUGCUUGCAAUUCUGAAGACCUCACUAUUUUAACAACAAUUUUAAAAUCAGUUUAUUUACCAAAGAUUUACCUAAGUCACACAAAUUUUUAAAAGUUGGGUUUAUUACUAUUUUUAGUAAAUAGUUAUUUACUAUUUUUUCUGAUAAAUUGCUUAAUUUUUUUUCUUUACAUCAGUUUCAUAAAGUUCUUUUAUAUAUUUCUGUAGAAGAAUAUUAUGUAUGUAUAACACAGACCAAGAAACAUACAGAAACACAAAAAGAUCUUAUAGCUUAUCACUGUAAAAUUGUAGUCAAGAAACUGUAAAAUAUACUAAUAUAAAAUCACAAGUGUAUAAAAAAAGACAGUUGGAUCCAAAUUAUAUUUCUGAAAAAAUGGGACAAGUUAAGAUCAGUUUUUCAUAUUGCUAAUCUUUUUUUUUUCUUUUGCCUUUGAUAGGUAAUCUUAUGAGGGAAGUGGACCAAAUUUUGGGUAAAGCUGUUUUUAUAGCAUUUUAGUUUUUGAAAAAUCUUUUACCCUUUUUUCCUCUUCAAUUUUAAAUGAGUUGUUUUAAUUAACUUCUGGAUAUUUACAUUUCAGUUAGGAUUGGCUAGAAAAAUAAACUUCCAAGAAUCCUUGAACUUAUUAACAAAUUUAAUACAAGCAAACAAGUUAGCAGAUUCAGAGCGAGCAGAGAAAAAAAGAGAGCUAGCUUAGAAGCCCGUACAUGUUAAUCCUACAGUUCCAGUCUCUUAAUUCAGCUCUAAGGAAACAAGCUUAGAGAGUUUAAAUAAUUCCCAUAAUGGCCGUACAUUAUCCUUAGUGUAAUUUGCCAAUUAUUUUUUAAAUGUGCAUGAGAAAGGACCAUAAAUUUCAAAUGUAUAGCUGCCUCAAGUGCCAGAGGGCUUGGCAUUCUUUAGAAGUUGAAGAUCCCAUUGCAUUUCUUAUCAAUCUCUCAAGAGCAAAGAAAAGCCCAAAAAUUUUGUCAAAAGCAUUGACCAAGCUGUUUUGUUUUAACUAGUGUACCUGACACAGAAUUCAUCUUUUUAUACUUGGCAGAUGGCCUUUGUCCUAGUUGUCUAACCUAUGACCAAGUUUUCCCUGGUUGUGUAGAAAUUUUCUUGAGACUGGCAGGUGCCUCAGUGGUAAUCUUCCUUGUCUGUGACUAUUUUAUCCUUACAUGGGAGACGUUUUCUUUGGAGACUGGAGUCCGUCAUAGAUGGCAGUGACGUUCCUAGUGGCAUUUAUUAUUAUUCUUAUUUUGUUGUUACUGUUGUUGUUUAGAUACAAGGUCUCACUCUGUUGCCCAGGCUGGAGUGCAGUGGUACAAUCACAGCUCACUACAGCGUUGAACUCCUGGGCAAAGUGAUCCUGUUAUCGCAGCCUCCUGAGUAGCUGGGGAGACACGCGUGCAUCACCACAUCUGGCUAAUUUCUAAAGAAAUAUUUUUAGAGACAGGGUCUUGUUAUGUUGCCCAGGCUGGUUUGGAAGUCCUGGUUUCAUGUAUUUCUCUCAUCUCAGCCUCCCAGCUGGCUGGGAUUACAGGCACAAGCCACCAUGCCUGGUCCUAGUGGCUUUAAUUGUCCACUAAAAUCAGUUUAUUUACCAAAGAUUUACCUAAGUCAUGUGAACUUUAAAAAAAUGUGAGUUAACUACUAUUUUUCUGAUAAAUUACUUAAGUGCUUAAUUUUUUUCUUUAAGUCAGUUAAAUAGAGCUCUUUCAUACAUUUUGGUAGAAAAUAUUACAUACAUAUAUAGACACAAGAACAUACAGACAACACAAAAAGAUAUUUUCCCUUUUCCCUUUAAAAUUUUAGUCAUGAUACAUUAAAACAGUAAUAUACUGUGCCAUUUAGAAUGUUUAUUUUUGCUCUUUGAAAGUGUUCAGAAACAAGCAGGGAAAACAAAAGAGCCAAAUUAUUUACAGUUGCAUGUAACCAAAUUGACAUGAAACCAAAUGAAGCGUGCUCACAAAAAUUUUAAGCCAGGCUUGCAGAGCAAACAAAAUAUAAAACCGUGUUUGCAGAAAAACCAAAGCAAAUUCAGUAGAAAAUACAUGCCUCACAGAACGUAAGUUCUGUGGGAACCAGAGUACUCUCCAAAAGAACACUUGGCCUUAUACCAGAAGAGGCUUUCCAGAAAAGACAAAAAGUCUUUUGUAGUCCCACAAGGGUUGCAAGGUCCUUAAUUUAAGGUGGCCUUAUAGCCAAAUCCAGAUCCUGAAUAAAGUCAAAAGAACUUACCAAACGAAGGACGUCUGAGAAUCUAAGCAGAGAUUCACCAGAGCAGAGAAGGAAGGCCAUAGAAGCAGAGGCCACAAAAGGGGUCAAUGUUGGUACCUCACUAGAUUCCAGGGGAUGCUGGCCUGUUUGAGGUCAGCUGACUUCUUGACACAAACUUUAUGUCAACCUAAAUAGCAGACACAGAGAGAAGAUGUCUAAAAGAAAAUUGUAUUUAUUCAGGAAUGAGUAUUGCAAUGGGAAUAUAGUGGGUGUAUUCAGGGAGGUAAAGAAAGACAAGGGCUUUUAAAGAAGUGAGGAGGGUUACAUGAGUUUUUUGAAACAAUUAUCUUUGGCUACAAGGAUCACUAACAAAGGUGGUAGUAGUUCAAGGUUGGACAGCCAGUUGCUGGGCAGCUGUCUUAACCAAAGUAUUUUUGUAUGUGUAAGGUUGUGGUGGCCUUUGUGCAAGGUUGUUGUGAUUUUUGCAGUCUUUGUGAUCGUUCCUCUUAUCAGGUAUAUGUGCAUGAGAACCUUCUUUUCAUCACCUUCCCUGGCUCCAUUUGUCCUGCUACGGUGACACCAGUCUUUUAGUCCAUACAUUUGACUUCAUGAGGAGUUUGCUAUAAUCAAUUGAAUGAAGAAGAAACAUGUGGACCUGCUUUAUAGAAGGAAUGAUGCCAGGGGGAUGAAUAGUUUUGCUGGAUGGUCAUGGACUUCAAAGAAGCAUGAUUGAUAAUUGGUUGACAAGGCAAAUUGACAAUGAGGUAUGUGAGUGGACUACUUUUAAUGAGCAGAAUAUAAAAUUACUUGCGGCCUAUUUAAUUGUCAAUAAUCAGCAACCUCACCAGAAGAUGAGCUUAAUAAUCAGGUGAUCAAGAUGGUACAUUCUGUGAAUAUUCUUCAAGAUUUUUCUCUAGUCAACCAUGUCCAUUCCCAGUGGGUGCAUGAACAGUGUAGUCAUGGUGGAAGAAAUGGAGCUUAUUAGUUCAGUACUAUGAAAUUCCAUUUACUAAAUCCAAUCUGGCUACAACCACAUUUAUAUGGCCAAGCUAUCAAAAGUAUGGACUAACACUGGACCUCAGAUAGGCACUGUUCUUCAAAGGGGACUACCAACCUCCUGCUGGAAUUUGAUUACACCGGACCACUUUGAUCAUGGAGGAGACAGCACUUUGUUUUCAGUGGAAAAGACAAUUACUCUAGAUAUGAAUUUGCCUUUCCUAUUCCAAUGUUUCUGAUAAAAGCAUCACAUGUGGACUUUACAAAAUGUUUUAUUUUCUGCCAUGGAAUUCCACCCAGCAUUUCUUGUGACCAGGGCAGUCAUUUUUCAAAAAAUGAAUUGUAUCCAUUGGGCUCAUGUUGAUAGAAUUCACUAAACUUACCAUGAUUCCUGUUAACAGUUCCAUUUCAGUAGUGGGACAUGCCUCAAUUCUCAGAAGUCCUACCAUCUCUGAUUUGUCUUCCCAUGUUUGUUUACCUAAUUCCUACUUUAAAAUGUCCUUGUCCCUAAAAUCCUAGUGAUUCUGCUUCUCUGAUUGAACCCUGACUGAUAUUGAACCAUUUCUGCUCCUUUUCAGACACUACCCCUCUCUCUCAACUAUAAUCACUUUCCUAACUUCUAUCACCAUUGACUACUUUUCCUUUUAUCUUUAUAUAUAUGAAACCAUAUUGUAUAUAUCCUUUUGUGUCUCUGUUUUGCCCAACAUUAUGUUUGUGAGAUUGAACUAUGCUGCUGUUUUAUAGCAAUUGUUUACUUAUUUUGUUACUGUAGAGCAAGUGUAGGCACACUACAUCCCAUGGGUGAAAUCUUGUAUAUAUUUCGGGGUGCACAUGUGUGUGUGUUUCUGCUUGCUAGAAGUGGAAUUUCUGUGUCAUGGAGAAUACAUAAAUUUAACUCUAGCAGAUACUGUGAAACAUUUUCCAAAGUGAUUGUACCAAUUUACACUCUUACAAGGACCGUGGUAGAGUUCCAUCUGCUCCACGUGCUUGCCAAUGUUUGGUGUUGUCAGACUUAAAUUAUUUUUAAAUUAUUUUUUAAAUUCACCAUUCUAAUUUUUUAAAAGAAGUAGAGUAUAAUGCUGGUUACCAGGGGCUGGAGUGGAGGGGUUGGGACAUAUUGGUCAAAAGAUAUAACAUGUCAGUUAUACACGAGUAAUUUUUAAAAAAUCAGUGAUUCUGGUAUGGCAAUAGAGUUGUCUCAUUGAGGGUUUAAUUUAUACUGCUGUAAUGACUAAUGAAGUUGAGCAAACAGAGCAUGUAUCUGAAGCCUUGUACAUUUGUAUAUUCUUCAUAUAGUGCUUACUCAAGUGAUUUGUUGAUUUGUCUAUUUGGUUGUCAGUCUUAUUCUUGUAUUUAUAGGAUUUCUUUAUAUUCUGCUUACAAGCCUUUUGACAUAUGUGUGUAUUGUGAUUAUCUUUUCAACUGUGGCCAGCAUUUUCACUUUCCUUAUGGUACAUUUGAUAAACAACCAUUCUCAUUUUAAGUUUUUUAAUUUUACUUUUCAGUUGGUACUUUAAAAAAUCGUUGCCAACAUUAGAGAAGGUCACAAAGAUAUUUUAGUAGCUAUUUAAAAAAAUCUUUUAAUUUUAAGAUCUAUAUUCCAUAUCAUAUUGAUAUUUACAUAUGGGAUGUGCUAAAGGUCAAGAUUAAUUAUUUUUCUAUGUGAAGAAUAUACAAUAUCCUCACUUCUUAAGAGAUUUCUCCAUUUUAUUAUCUUUGUCAAAUAUCAAAUGACUAGAUAUAUGUAAAUCUGUUUCUGAACUUUCUAUUAUCUUCCAUUAGUCUAUUCAUAUUUGCAUAUAUAGCACACUUUUAAUUACUGCAAAUACAUAAAAUGUCUUGAUGUCUUAUCGCAUAAACCCACCUCUUUCUAUUUUCUUUUGAUGUUUUGGUUAUUCUUGACUGUUGCUUUUGUUUACAGAUUUUAGACUCAGCUUGCCAGUUUUCACCAAAAAACUGCUGAGAAUUUUAUUAAAUAUAUAGAUUAUUCAAAGGAGCACUGAUAGCUUUACAACAUUGAAUUGUCCAGUAUCUGAAUAGCACCACAUAUUUUAAAUUUUCAUUGAAGUAUAAAUAUAUGUAGAAAAAUGUAUAUGUCAUAUGUGUCAUGAUUGUUUAAUUUUCAACACACUCAAAAUACCAGCAUCUGUAUCAAGAAACUGCACAUAACCAGCAUGUGGUAGCCAUGAAAAUGUAUUUCACAAAUAUUUUAAUGCAAGUAACCAAAGACCCCUAUUGUUGUGUUUUAAGGUCAAUCCUGUGUUUGCAUCAAGGCCAGAUUUUCUGAAGGCUGCUGCUCCCAGUCAAUAUCUGAGAGCAGUAAGGAUUCUAAGGUAGACCUGUUCAGGGAGACAUGGAUCUUCUCUGUUGGAUAGAUAAGAUUGUGAAUACCUGACUUUAAUGGCUUUUUCUUUAAUAUAACUUUUCUUUCUUUUUUUUGAAAUUUAGUCUCGCUCUGUUAUACAGGCUGGAGUGCAGUGGUGCGAUCUCGGCUCACUGCAACCUCCACCUCCAGGGUUCAAAGGAUUCUCCUGCCUCAGUCUCCCAAAUAGCUGGGAUUACAGACAUGCCACCACACCCAGCUAAUCUUUGUAUUUUUAGUAGAGACGGUGUUUCACCAUGUUGGCCAGGUGGGUCUUGAACUCCUGACCUCAGGUGAUCCGCCCGCCUUGGCUUCCCAAAGUGCUGGGUUACAGGUGUAAGCCACUGCACCUGGCCUAAUGUAACUUUUCUUAAGCUGUAUGGAAGUCUAGAAUGAUUUUAUCAAAUCUUCCUUUGUUGUUGUGUUGUUGUUGCUGUUGUUGUUGUUGAGACAGGGUCUCACUCUGUCACCCAGGCUGAAGUGCAGUGGCACAAUCUUGGCUCACUGCAACCUCUGCCUCCCCGGCUCAAGUGAUCCUCCAGCCUCUGCCUCCCAAGUAGCAGGGACUACAGGCACGUGCCACCACACCCAGUUAGUUUUUGUAUUUUUUUGUAGAGACAGAGUCUCACUUUGUUCCCUGGGCUGCCUUUUGUUCUUUACUCAGUGUUAGAUUUACAUCAUGGUGCAGCUUCUCUCCUGUUUUCUCUCACAAUCAUUUCCCCUAAUAAAAUUCUUACACAACUAA